AAACUAACAAGGAUUCCCCUAGUAACGGCGAGUGAAGAGGGAAGAGCCCAAGAUUGAAAGCUGGCGUCUUCGGCGUCCGCAUUGUAAUCUCAAGAAGUGUUUUCCGCUUCGGACCAUGCCUAAGUCCCUUGGAAAAGGGCAUCAUAGAGGGUGAUAAUCCCGUACAUGGCAUGGAGCGCCCGAAGCUUUGUGAUACGCUUUCUAAGAGUCGAGUUGUUUGGGAAUGCAGCUCAAAAUGGGUGGUAAAUGCCAUCUAAGGCUAAAUAUUGGGGAGAGACCGAUAGCGAACAAGUACAGUGAUGGAAAGAUGAAAAGAACUUUGAAAAGAGAGUUAAACAGUACGUGAAAUUGCCAAAAGGGAAGGGUAGGAGGUCAGAGAUGCGGCCUGGGAUUCAGCCUUGCUUUUGCUUGGUGUUUUUCCCAGAUUGCAGGCCAACGUCGGUUUUGGGCACUGGAGAAGGGUAGGAGGAACGUGGCACCUCUCGGGGUGUGUUAUAGCCUCCUACUGGAUACAGCGACCGAGACCGAGGACAGCAGCGUACUCGCAAGAGCGGGCCUUCGGGCACCUUUACGCUUAGGGCGUUGGCAUAA
rnacentral:rRNA from 1 species